UUUCCGGUUGAUCCUGCCGGACCCCACUGCUAUCGAGGUGGGACUAAGCCAUGCCAGUCGAACGACCCGGACUAUGGCGGGGAGUGGCAGACUGCUCAGUAACACGUAGCUAACCUACCCUCAGGACGGGGAUAACCCCGGGAAACUGGGGCUAAUACCCGAUAGGUAUGGAUUCCUGGAAUGGUGCCAUGCCUAAACGUAAGCACAUCCAUGUUUGUGUGCACGCCCGAGGAUGGGGCUGCGGCCGAUCAGGCAGUUGGUGAGGUAACGGCUCACCAAACCUUUGACCGGUACGGGCCAUGAGAGUGGUAGCCCAGAGAUGGGCACUGAGACAAGGGCCCAGGCCCUACGGGGCGCAGCAGGCGCGAAACCUCCACAAUUCACGCAAGUGAGAUGGGGUUACCUCGAGUGCUAUCUGAAGAAGGUGGCUUUUCCAUGGUGUAAUGAGCCGUGGGAAUAAGGGGGGGGCAAGACUGGUGUCAGCCGCCGCGGUAACACCAGCCCCCCGAGUGGUGGGGAUGAUUAUUUGGCCUAAAGCGUCCGUAGCCAGCUCGGUAAAUCUCUCGUUAAAUCCAGCGUCCUAAGCGUUGGGCUGCGAGGGAAACUGCCGAACUAGAGGGUGGGAGAGGUCAGCGGUAUUCCUGGGGUAGGGGCGAAAUCCAUUGAUCCCAGGAGGACCACCAGUGGCGAAGGCUGCUGACUAGAACACGCCUGACGGUGAGGGACGAAAGCUGGGGUAGCGAAUCGGAUUAGAUACCCGAGUAGUCCCAGCCGUAAACGAUGCAGGCUAGGUGUUGGGUCGGCCAUGCGCCGCCUCAGUGCCACAGGGAAGCCAUUAAGCCUGCCGCCUGGGGAGUACGGCCGCAAGGCUGAAACUUAAAGGAAUUGGCGGGGGAGCACCACCAGGCGUGAAGCCUGCGGUUUAAUUGGAGUCAACGCCGGGG
rnacentral:rRNA from 1 species